rnacentral:rRNA from 1 species
AUGAGCCGGGCUGGAGGACCCAGACUCGGAGGAGAUGAUAGAGUUCAUGGCGAGCGAGGCGGACUUGACCGAGUCCAUGCUUGCCUGGUUAGGGAGAGCCUCCAGCGCAAGCAAACCAGAUUCAGGAUCAUGUCGAUUCCUUAUGGGCCCCAUGAUUGUUGGUGUUUUCCUAUUUCAAAUGAAAACAUCAAGAUCCUCGUGCAUGAAAAGCACACACGCGGGGCAGGAGCAUACCUACAGAGAGGUCUGAAGGCACACACAUUCACAAAAAGUAUGGAACCAACAGCAUGCAAGCUAAUGAAGGCCAGUAUAGUUCAAGCUUCAGCUGCCGGAUGCUUUUGCUGA